rnacentral:tRNA from 1 species
GCUUCCAUAGCUCAGUGGUAGAGCACUUCCAUGGUAAGGAAGGGGUCGCCGGUUCAAUCCCGGCUGGAAGCU